rnacentral:tRNA from 1 species
AGGAAAUAGCUCAGUAGUAGAGCUCAUGAUUAGCGUACAUGAAGCCCUGGGUUUAAUCCCCAAUUCCUA